GGGCCCGCACAAGCGGCGGAGCAUGCGGAUUAAUUCGAUGCAAUGCGAAGAACCUUACCAAGGCUUGACAUAUAGAGGAAACGGCUGGAAACAGUCGCCCCGCAAGGUCUCUAUACAGGUGGUGCA
rnacentral:rRNA from 1 species